AGCGCAGGCGGGACUGCAAGUUGGAUGUGAAAUACCGUGGCUUAACCACGGAACUGCAUCCAAAACUGUAGUUCUUGAGUGAAGUAGAGGCAAGCGGAAUUCCGAGUGUAGCGGUGAAAUGCGUAGAUAUUCGGAGGAACACCAGUGGCGAAGGCGGCUUGCUGGGCUUUAACUGACGCUGAGGCUCGAAAGUGUGGGGAGCAAACA
rnacentral:rRNA from 1 species